AAUAGGAGUAGAAGCAGUCAACGCCGUCCGGCGCGGGUCAUUGCUCCUUCA
rnacentral:ncRNA from 1 species